CGGGGAGUAGCGCAGUUUGGUAGCGUACCUGCCUUGGGAGCAGGUGGUCGCAGGUUCAAAUCCUGUCUCCCCGACCA
rnacentral:tRNA from 1 species